AAUUUUUUUUAGAGAUGAGGUCUCCCUUUGUUGCCCAGCUGGUCUGAAAUUCCUGGUUUCAAGUGACCCUCACACGUCAGCCUCCUAAAGAGGUGAAGUUAUAAGCAUGAACCAUUGUGGCCAGCGGUGGGACUGAUCCUUACAAAGGUCUUGUGUGCUUCUUAUCUCUCUUGGAACCACGUCAUGGCCAUGAAAACAAGCUCAAGCUAGCCUACUGAAGGAUACAAGAACCAUAGAGGAAAGCUGAGUCACUUUAGCUGAGGCCAUAAUAGACUGAUCAGCCCCCUGCCAACAACCAGUGAUGGCAGAUGCUUGAUCGGGCCCCAGAAAGUUCAUCAGAAAUGAGUGAGUCAAGGUCACAAUAACUGAUCAGCUGAACCAUGGACUCAGGAAAAAUUUUUUUUAAAGGUAGUUGUUUGUUUUGUUUUUUAACAUACCAGUAGCUACAUAGCCCAUAUUGCAAAUGACAUCAAAUUGGACAGAAUGGUUACUGGGUUGUAAUUUUGGAAUGACGGAUUCUAAGUAUCAAGAAGAAUCUGAAUGGGAACAAAUGUAUAAUUCUCAUGAAGUGCUGUACUUGAUUAAAAACUCAAUACAAAACUAAGAUGGUCUCCAGAUACAAGGAUGUAAUAUUUUCCAAUAUAUUUUUAGCAAACUCUCUGGAAUAGUUGGUUGUACUUCGGAGGCUGGUCUAGGGAAGAAUGGUUAGAAUCAGUCUAGAAAUCAUGUCAAAUUCUUAUCACUUGCUAUCAAACUAGCUGGUUCAAUUCCUUAUUAGUGAUCUGCAAUAAGAUAAAAUCUUGUGCUACAACAUAAAGCAACUAUCUCAAUAAACACAGUUUAAUUCAGCUAA
rnacentral:lncRNA from 1 species